CCUCCCAACCUGAAGUCAGCCAUCGCCGCUGUGACAUACAUGGCCGAGCAGCUGAAGAAGCAGGACACGGAUGACACAAUGACAGGAGACUGGCAGUUCAUUGCUCUGGUAGUGGACCGUCUCUUCCUGUGGUUGUUUGUCAUCAUCACCACCCUGGGAACCCUGGCCAUGUUCUUGGAUGCCAGUUUCAACUACACUCCUGAUAACCCCUUCCCAUAGAGGACAACACACACACACAGUUGUUUGAUACAUUGUUUGGUUGUCUCUUUAUUUCUACUUCUCCUUGGUGCUUUCCGAGAUCACCAGAUCUGACUUUCCAUAAAUACCUAUUCCAUAUUUCUGUUGUAAUGCGUCACAUUUGCAUACAGAGUAGCACACAUGCUUGACACACAGCUGACAUUAUAAUAUAAUCCAUGUAUAGUGCUAUAGAAGGUAAAUGUAUAUGUGGUAACAUCCAAUAGUUUUGCAUUAUUUUUGUCUAAAUCUGUAUUUAUGACUUUGUGAUCUUCUUUAUUUGAGUCUAAAAGUUUGAAAUAUAUGUUUCUUCAAAGUGA